rnacentral:rRNA from 1 species
GAUGAACGCUGGCGGCGUGCUUAACACAUGCAAGUCGAACGGGAAAUAUUUCAUUGAGACUUCGGUGGAUUUGAUCUAUUUCUAGUGGCGGACGGGUGAGUAACGCGUGGGUAACCUGCCUUAUACAGGGGGAUAACAGUCAGAAAUGGCUGCUAAUACCGCAUAAGCGCACAGAGCUGCAUGGCUCAGUGUGAAAAACUCCGGUGGUAUAAGAUGGACCCGCGUUGGAUUAGCUGGUUGGUGGGGUAACGGCCCACCAAGGCGACGAUCCAUAGCCGGCCUGAGAGGGUGAACGGCCACAUUGGGACUGAGACACGGCCCAGACUCCUACGGGAGGCAGCAGUGGGGAAUAUUGCACAAUGGGGGAAACCCUGAUGCAGCGACGCCGCGUGAAGGAAGAAGUAUCUCGGUAUGUAAACUUCUAUCAGCAGGGAAGAUAGUGACGGUACCUGACUAAGAAGCCCCGGCUAACU